AUGCCAGUCGGGGUCAACAGGUCCCUGAUCACAGAAGACGGUACACCCAGUUCUCAAUCCUCACAGGAUCCCUGCACCCAGGGUCACAGAACAUGCGCAGGCCCUUCCCGCCCACUUCCGGGGGAACCGCCAACCACCGCGCAGGCGGAGCCCCAGGCAGGAAGUCGCGCACUAGGCGGGGUUGGUUGUCUUGAGGCCUUCUUCGCGUGGGCCUGGUGGGUCCUGAUCAUCCUCUGGCCAGGGUUACUGAUCCGUCUGCUCCAGAGGUUCACAAAGUACAGUCCGCAGGCCAGCGUCAUCAUCUGGGAACUUAGGAAAAAACCAGCCCUACUGGAUCAGAAACUGGAGAUGUGGCCCAGGCAAUCUCUUACCAAGACCUCCAAGACCUGCAAGGAAGGAUUCCCUGUCUUGGAUGUGAGUCUGCUUUCUUGAAGAAAACUUGACUUUAUUUCAUUCAGUGGGAAGAGCAGCAGCACAGCUAUUAAGUUCUAAUAUGCAAUUGGCUGCAAGCUGUGAAGUGUUCGUGGCAGUAGACUCUGAAGCUAAGGAGCUGAGGGCUUAACAAGUUUCUAGAAGCUGCCAUUAACAUGCCAAGUCAGUAAAACUGAAAGCUCGCCAGAUUUCAAGGUCUGGGGAGGAUAUCCACUGUGUACUGGGUCGUGAGCUCUAGAGAGCUACACCUUGCUAAAAUAAAAGAAUUAUCUUACCUA
rnacentral:lncRNA from 1 species